ensembl:snoRNA
AUCCUUUGGUUCAUGAGUGUGGUAAUGGGGAGUUCAUGCCACAUGCAUGAGAUGUGCCUCACUCAAACCUAGUUGCGACAUCCCAUUGCCCAUCUGAUG